GAUGGCAUGGUGGCGCGCGCCUGUAGUCCCAGCUACUCAAGAGGCUGAGGUGGGAGGAUCACUUGAGUCCUGGAGUUCUGGGCUGCAGUGCGCUAUGCUGAUUGGGUGUCCACACUAAGUUCGGUAUCAAUAUGGUGACCUCCGGGGAGCGGGGGACCACCAGGUUGCCUAAGGAGGGGUGAACCCGCCCAGGUUGGAAACAGAGAAGGUCAAAACUCCGUAGGGGGAUCACGCCUGUGAAUAGCCACUGCACUCCAGCCUGGGCAAUAUAGUGAGACCCUGUCUCUU
rfam:Cavia porcellus supercont2_11 genomic scaffold, whole genome shotgun sequence.